ensembl:snRNA U2 U2 spliceosomal RNA
AUCACUUCUUGACCUUUUGGCCAAGAUCAAGUGUAGUAUCUGUUCUUAUCAGUUUAAUACCUGAUAUGCCUUCUAUCCAAGAACAAUAUAUUAAAUGGAUUUUUGGAGAAGGGAGAUGGAAUAGCAGCUUGCCCCAUCUACUCUUCACAUAAAACAGGUAUUGUGAUAUUUCA